GAUGAACGCUAGCGGAAGGCUUAAUACAUGCAAGUCGAGCGGUAGGUGGCUUCGGCCAUUGAGAGCGGCGCACGGGUGAGUAACGCGUACAUGACCUGCCUGUCAGAAGGGGAUAGCCCUGGGAAACUGGGAUUAAUACCCUAUGGUAUUGAUAUUAUGAAUGAUAUCAAUUAAAGUUGAGGCGCUGACAGAUGGAUGUGCGUCUGAUUAGCUAGUUGGUAGGGUAACGGCCUACCAAGGCGACGAUCAGUAGGGGGCGGGAGAGCGUGGUCCCCCACACGGGUACUGAGACACGGACCCGACGCCUACGGGAGGCAGCAGUAAGGAAUAUUGGUCAAUGCCCGCAAGGGUGAACCAGCCAUUCCGCGUGGAGGAUGAAGGCCCUAUGGGUUGUAAACUUCUUUUAGAUGGGAAGAAAAUGCUAGAUGUAUCUGGUACUGACGGUACCAUCAGAAUAAGCACCGGCUAACUCCGUGCCAGCCGCCGCCGUAAAAC
rnacentral:rRNA from 1 species